rnacentral:rRNA from 1 species
AAAGUUUAACCUGCCCACUGAUUGGAACAAAUUAAAUGGCCGCGGUAUAUUGACCGUGCAAAGGUAGCAUAAUCGUUAGUUUUUUAAUUGGAAUCUUGUAUGAAUGGUUGGACAAAAGAAAAUCUGUCUUUAUAUUAUUAAUUGAAUUUAACUUUUAAGUGAAAAGGCUUAAAUGGAUUAAAGUGACGAUAAGACCCUAUAAAGCUUUAUAUAGAUAUAUUAUUUAAUUAAAUUUUUAAUAAAAAUUUAGUAGUAAAAUUUAUUUUAUUGGGGCGAUAAGAGUAAAAUUUUUAUUAACUGCUUUAAGUUUUGAAUACAUUUAUGUUUGAUUAAAAUUUUAAAUGAUCCUAAAUAAAGAUUAAAAGUUUAAGUUACUUUAGGGAUAACAGCGUUAUUUUUUUUGAGAGUACUUAUCGAAAAAAAAGUUUGCGACCUCGAUGUUGAAUUAAAAUUUCUUUAUAAUUGCAGAAGUUAUAAAAGUAGGUCUGUUCGCCU